rnacentral:rRNA from 1 species
GAUGAACGCUGGCGGCGUGCCUAAUACAUGCAAGUCGAGCGAACAGACGAGAAGCUUGCUCCUCUGACGUUAGCGGCGGACGGGUGAGUAACACGUGGAUAACCUACCUAUAAGACUGGGAUAACUUCGGGAAACCGGAGCUAAUACCGGAUAAUAUUUUGAACCGCAUGGUUCAAAAGUGAAAGACGGUUUUGCUGUCACUUAUAGAUGGAUCCGCGCUGCAUUAGCUAGUUGGUAAGGUAACGGCUUACCAAGGCAACGAUGCAUAGCCGACCUGAGAGGGUGAUCGGCCACACUGGAACUGAGACACGGUCCAGACUCCUACGGGAGGCAGCAGUAGGGAAUCUUCCGCAAUGGGCGAAAGCCUGACGGAGCAACGCCGCGUGAGUGAUGAAGGUCUUCGGAUCGUAAAACUCUGUUAUUAGGGAAGAACAAAUGUGUAAGUAACUGUGCACGUCUUGACGGUACCUAAUCAGAAAGCCACGGCUAACUACGUG